rnacentral:lncRNA from 1 species
AUAGAGCAUAAUUUAGUCCAUUUUAUAUUAAUAUUAUUAAUGAAUAUCUACAUGAUUUUUGCUUAAUUUAUUGCUUUUAAUAUUAUUUUGCAGAAAAUGGUGUAAAAUGAUAAUUUGGAGAAAAUCCCCCUAAAACCGCCUUAUUUGGAGCAAAAAAGAGCAAGCCUGCUAAGUUGGAUUCAAAACGAGCUGGAUGAGGAAAAUAUUUGGAAAUUUAAAUAUUCAAGCACUUCACGCAAUGGGCAGCCCAUUCUCGCCAACGCAUUGGACAAAGCAAAGCCCAAUUCACUUCACGCGGACCACACUCGCGCAUGGCCCGCCUUCACCAAUCUUCACUUACACCUGGGCCCCGCCGCUUCAAUGCUCACUUCAGCCACCUUCACAUGGCCAGCACUUCACCGUGGACAAGCCAAGCACGAGGACCAACCCGCACAUGGACCAGACAGCCCAUCCUCACAAUUGCGGGCCAAAUACAUGCUCACACCUCACCAUUCCCUCCAGUGGCCCACUCUCACGCACAAGGGACGCGGACAGCCCAAGCACGCCAACGCACAUGGACCUUCCACUUGCAACAUGGCCCGCCACUCACGCUCCCACUUCAACCCACGCAUGUGGACCGCACGUUCAUCCAGCGUGGGCCCACGCUUCAUCACUCUUUUCACGUGGACCAAGGCAUUCCAGCAGCUCUCUUCACGUGGCCCAUUCCCGCCUUCACAACCUUCGCACACAUGGCGGCCCAUUCCCAGCACACGGACGGCAAAUCACGCGCAUGCGGGACCGCAAUUUCCCAAUUAGGGCGUCUCCUCUACAACUCUAUAUAAAGAGCCUUAAGACAAACAGAGAUGACCUCGAAUUUUCCCUCGGCAAUUCCGCAGGCGCAAGGCAGAAGUUCUUCGGUUCUUUCCUUCCUUUUUUUUUUUAAUUUUUUUUUUAUUUUUAAUUCAAUCAAUGAAUGGCUGAAUUUCUUUAAUCUAGUUGGAUAAUUGGUUGAAACUUUAGUUGUUUAAUGGGUUGUGAGACUUAAUUAAAUAUUGUUUAACUUUUGGGUAUUUAAUAUUCAUGCAAUUUCAUACUUAAUUUUUAUAUUAUUCUGUUAUUGAGAUCUACGUUGAUUUUUAAUUGCAAAAUAAUUAUUUGUUAGUUUGAAUAAUUUAAAUCCGUAAUUGUUUAGAUUAUUCUUACAUAAGAACACUUGACAUAAAAACUAAGGAAGUUGCAUGAUCUAGCGUUGUCUCCAUACGUUUGGGUAGUUAGGAUUGAAUCUCUCUAUUUUUUAAUGCAAUUGAUAAUUGUUUUGAUGCCUAUAGCUUAAGGACGUUCCUUGGCAAUUUGUUAAUUAGUAAUUGAUUAGAGGACGUUUCCUAAUUAAUUUAAUAAUAAAGAAAGAUAAUAGUGGUGAGACGCGUCUUCCAUCUCCAUAACUAAUAUAUUAAAUCAACCCAAAAGAAUAAAGUGGCUGUGAUCAAUCCCAACAACUAAAGUGGAUCCAAUACUUCAACUAGAGCUUUCUCAUUAUUGAUUACUUUUUAUUUAAUUAUUGCUUUCCAUUAUUUUUCUCAUUAUUAGUUUAUUACAAUCAAUCUCAAACCCCCCAUUUUACUUUUAUUGCAAUUUAUUUUUAUUCUGCUUUCAGUUUAUCUCAUUUGAUCCCACUUUCAGUUUUUAUCUCAUUUUUAGUUUAUUAUUGUUCCAGUUUAUUUUCUUGGUCAUAAAAAGAGAAAUAGGUGAGUUCUCAAUUCUCUGUGGAUUCGAUCCUUUCACCACUAUCUGCAGUUGUAAAUUGUUGAUAACCAGAAAGGUUAUUUUUGACCGGCUUCGACAACCGCGAGUCAAAAAUUGGCGCCGUUGCCGGGGAAUUGAUUUAACUUAUUUGUUUCUCUUUCAGGACCUGAUCUGUAACCCAAAGAACACCAUAUAGCAGAUCUGAAUUAAAAAAAAAAGAGCACACUAUCGCAGAUCAUGCUUGAGGACCUCCGGAAUCGCCCCAAACCAUCGCAGAAUUGAUUCAUGGAUGAGGUAAGUACAUAUAAUCCCCCUUCUCAAAUUCCUGACCUAACCUCUAUUGUGGAAAGCUAUGUCAUAGCUCUACAGGAGCGACGACUUCAGCAGUCUCAACCAUAUAAGAUCUGUGGAUAUGUGGGACAUCUAACGUCCCAAUGUCCUACACUUUAUGAGGAUGACCAACCAGUUCAAGCAUAUGGAGGAUUCUAUGAACAGCCAAGACAUGAUCCCUACCAUAAUACAUACAAUCCAAAUUGGGGAGACCAUCCGAAUUAUGGCUAUGCAAGGGACCAACAAGUACAUGCAUUUGGAGGAUUCUAUGAACAACCAAGACAUGAUCCCUACCAUGACACAUACAAUUCAAAUUGGGGAGACCAUCCAAACUACGGCUAUGCUGGAGCUAACAACUAUCAGGAUUAUCAAGGAAAUCAAGCCCAAGAAGAACCUCCAAGUUUCAACCAACACCUUGAAGAGAAGAUUAGGACAUUGGCGAUUUCUGUGCAAACUCUCCAACAGCAGGUGGAACAAUUGACCACCUCAAUGAGUGCAACCAUGAUAAGAAGAGAGGACGAGUUUCAAGAUGAUGAGACAGAUGAUGAAAGCUCACAAGUACAAGAACAAGCUGCUGAAGAGAAUCAACCAGAAAACUGUUUGUCCAAACAAACUGGUCAAACAAAACUUGUUGUUGAUUUAGAUGUCAUUGAUUAUUUGAGCAAAGAUGUUUUUUAUAUAAAUCAAGAUGAUAUUCUGAGCAAUAAUCUUUGCAGGAAAGAGAGCCAGAAAGAGCCAUAAUUGAAAGAAACUGACUGUUGCAUCCAACAGGUGGACUGCAGCCAUGCACAGAAUGAACAGAAGCAGAUCGCACCGCUUCAGCUUGGUGCGCAGAUCAACCUUGAGCAAGACAGUCCUACAACACUUCCAAUCGCACCUUUUUAGACCAAUCUUGCGAAAAAAGGAGUACCUGAAAGCCUUUCAAAUGCGUCCUUUCAACUUCAAUCGCAGAUCAGUCCUCUUCAGCUCCCCUUUUAGUCAGAUCCUGCGCAGAAGGAGCAAUCUGAAACCAAUUCAGCCAUAGAUCCAAUGCAAACAGCCCAUGCUCACAAGAAACAAAUGGAAUUCCAAGAGCCCAAACCAAAGGAACAUGUGGAUCAAUGCCUCCCCAAACCUCCAGAUAAGGUAGAAUUUAUUUUGCCUAAACUUAAUGCCAAAUUGCAGCCACCUAUGGAGAAAUAUCAAUUGAAGUUAGAAGUGCUAAAAAAUGCAAACAUAAGAGCUAGAGGCACACCUCAUCUGAAAGAGGAGAAGCUAAUCAUGUUACUUCAUGAGUACAUGGAGAAAAUAGGAUGGGCUAUGAAAAAAUCAAAAGGAGUGUUACACUUUUUGCUCAAUGCAGUUGGGACGCUUUUCCCUUCGCCAAUUACUUGAGCCUUGAUCAAGUGGAUCGCACCAUGCACACCACACCCAGGGGAGUACUUAGUUUCCUUUGUUCUUUUAUGUUUCUAUUACAUUGAGGACAAUGCAUGAUUUAGGUGUAGGGGUGCAUAUUUCUGAAUUUUUACUUUUUGAGUUUAUUUUUGCUUUGAUUUUUAGUUUGCUUGCAUCAGUUGAAAUUUUUCAUUUUUGCUUUCAAUAACACACACAAAUAGCCACAGUUUUUUUUAUUUUUGUUUCCGUUUUUUGAGAUACUUUACUCAUCAUAUUGACUAUGUUAGAUGAGCUUUUCUUUCCAUGACCCCAUUGAUGUGAUGACUCUUUAAACUUAUGUUGAAUCAAUUGCAGUGGGUUGUAUUCAUGUUUGAGAAUUGCCUUUUGAAUUGAAUCUUUGAGUUUUCCAUGGUGAAAAAUAUAUUGAUGACCCUCAAUUGAUGAGAAUAAAUUAAAAGUUGUGUGAAUAAACUUAACAUGAUUUGAUUUAGCAAUUGGUGUUGAUUUGCCCAAAUUAUUGAGAGAGAAAAUUUAGCAAAGGCAAAGACCUCAAAAGCACAAAUUAAAAACUGUUCCAAUAGUCAAAAGACUAUGAACAGAGCUAGUAGCCACUUGGAAAGGUGACUAACUGAAUAACUGGGGGUGGGUAUCACAAAUAUGUACCUUCACGUCAAAAGGUUGGUGACUUGUUCAAGCAAAAUUAAAAGUGCAAAAAGCCUGAAUAAAGUACUUCAAGGUAAGGGCAAGUCACUCCGAAAGCUAGAAAAAAUCUUAACAAAAAUGUGCAUGUAUGGUCUCUCUUGAGGAAAACAGAUCCUAGCCAUGGUGAGUAAAGGAAAACAAGGAAAGAAAGUGAGUAAUCUUCAUGCAUAUAUUUUUCACUGCAAUGCUUCAAAAUAGGUGUCUUGAGUAAGAGCUUAAAGUGGAAAUAAGGAUCUAGAGAAAGAGAACUUAUUUGACUAUGUUUAUUUGCUUGAGGACAAGCAAAAGGCUAGGUGUGGGGGUAUUUGAUAGAGCAUAACUUAGUCCAUUUUAUAUUAAUAUUAUUAAUGAAUAUUUACAUGAUUUAUGCUUAAUUUAUUGCUUUUAAUAUAAUUUUGCAGAAAAUGGUGUAAAAGGACAAUUUGGAGAAAAUCUCUCUAAAACCGCCUUAUUUGAAGCAAAAGAGAGCAAGCCUGCUAAGUUGGAUUCAAAACGAGCUGGAUGAGGAAAAUAUUUGGAAAUUUAAAUAUUCAAGCACUUCACGCAAUGGGCAGCCCAUUCUCGCCAACGCAUUGGACAAAGCAAAGCCCAAUUCACUUCACGCGGACCAUACUCGUGCAUGGCCCGCCUUCACCAAUCUUCACUUACACCUGGGCCCCGCCGCUUCAAUGCUCACUUCAGCCACCUUCACAUGGCCAGCACUUCACCGUGGAUAAGCCAAGCACGAGGACCAACCCGCACAUGGACCAAACAGCCCAUCCUCACAAUUGCGGGCCAAAUACAUGCUCACACCUCACCAUUCCCUUCAGUGGCCCACUCUCACGCACAAGGGACGCGGACAACCCAAGCACGCCAACGCACAUGGACCUUCCACUUGCAACAUGGCCCGCCACUCACGCUCCCACUUCAACCCACGCAUGUGGACCGCACGUUCAUCCAGCGUGGACCCGCUCUUCAUCACUCUCUUCACGUGGACCAAGGCGUUCCAGCAUCUCUCUUCACGUGGCCCAUUCCCGCCUUCACAACCUUCGCACACAUGGCGGCCCAUUCCUAGCACACGGACGGCAAAUCACGCGCACGCGGGAUCGCAAUUUCCCAAUUAGGCCGUCUCCUCUACAACUCUAUAUAAAGAGCCUUAAGACAAACAGAGAUGACCUCGAAUUUUCCCUCGGCAAUUCCGCAGGCGCAAGGCAAAAGUUCUUCGGUUCUUUCCUUCCUUUCUUUUUUAUUUUUAUUUUUUUAUAUUUUUAAUUCAGUCAGUGGCUGAAUUUCUUUAAUCUAGUUGGAUAAUUGGUUGAAACUUUAGUUGUUUAAUGGGUUGUGAGACUUGAUCAAAUAUUAUUUAACUUUUGGGUGUUUAAUAUUCAUGCAAUUUCAUACUUAAUUUUUAUAUUAUUCUGUUAUUGAGAUCUACGUUGAUUUUUAAUUACAAAAUAAUUAUUUAUUAGUUUGAAUAAUUUAAGUCCGUAAUUGCUUAGGUUAUUCUUACAUAAGAACACUUGGCAUAAAAACCAAGGAAGUUGCAUGAUCUAGCGUUGUCUCCAUAUGUUUGGGUAGUUAGGAUUGGAUCUCUCUAUUUUUUAAUGCAAUUGACAAUUAUUUUGAUGCCUAUGGCCCAAGGACGUUCCUUGGCAAUUUGUUAAUUAGUAAUUGAUUAGAGGACGUUCCCUAAUUAAUUUAAUAAUAAGGAGAGAUAAUGGUGGUGAGAAGCGUCUUCUAUCUCCAUAACUAAUCUAUUGAAUCAACCCAAAAGAACAAAGUGUCUGUGAUCAAUCCCAACAACUAAAGUGAAUCCAAUACUUCAAUUAGAACUUUCUCAUUAUUGAUUACUUUUUAUUUAAUUAUUGCUUUCCAUUAUUUUUCUCAUUAUUAGUUUAUUACAAUCAAUCUCAAACCCCCCAUUUUACUUUUAUUGCAAUUUAUUUUUAUUCUGCUUUCAGUGUAUCUCAUUUGAUCCCACUUUCAGUUUUUAUCUCAUUUUUAGUUUAUUAUUGUUCCAGUUUAUUUUCUUGGUCAUAAAAAGAGAAAUAGGUGAGUUCUCCUAAUUAAUUUAAUAAUAAGGAGAGAUAAUGGUGGUGAGAAGCGUCUUCCAUCUCCAUAACUAAUCUAUUGAAUCAACCCAAAAGAAUAAAGUGUCUGUGAUCAAUCCCAACAACUAAAGUGGAUCCAAUACUUCAACUAGAGCUUUCUCAUUAUUGAUUACUUUUUAUUUAAUUAUUGCUUUCCAUUAUUUUUCUCAUUAUUAGUUUAUUACAAUCAAUCUCAAACCCCCCAUUUUACUUUUAUUGCAAUUUAUUUUUAUUCUGCUUUCAGUUUAUCUCAUUUGAUCCCACUUUCAGUUUUUAUCUCAUUUUUAGUUUAUUAUUGUUUCAGUUUAUUUUCUUGGUCAUAAAAAGAGAAAUAGGUGAGUUCUCAAUUCUCUGUGGAUUCGAUCCUUUCACCACUAUCUGCAGUUGUAAAUUGUUGAUAACCAGAAAGGUUAUUUUUGACCGGCUUCGACAAUCGCGAGUCAACUUGCCAUGGUGUUGUAUUGAUGAUUUCAAUACUAUUUGCACUGAAGAGGACAAGUUAGGAAGGUGCGAGGUACGCUAUUCUUAGGUGGAAGGUUUUAAUGAAUUUAUUCAAUCAUGUGCUCUGAUGGAACUAACAUGGAAAGGUUCUACUUAUACCUCGUGUAAUAAGCGCUUUGGUGAUCAGGCUAUCCAACAACAUCUAGAUCGUGCUUUGGUUUCUGUUGACUGGAAGGAAUGUUUUUCACGGGCAUAAGUCAUUCAUGAAUCUCUGCUGGAGUCAAAUCAUCAACCUUUGGUUCUAUUGAUUGAUGCUUGUUUUGGUAAGUACAAAUUUUUAUUUGAUUUGGAGGCAAAGUGGUUAUAGCAUCCUCAAUGCGCAGAUGUGAUAUAGCGAGCUUGGAAUGCUCCUAGUCGUGGUUCUACUAUGUUUUCUUUCAUGCGUAAGUCACAUUCAUAUCGAUCUAAGCUUAGUUAUUGGCAUAGACAUGCCUUGAUGGGUGAUUUGGGUCGAACGAAACAACUUUAGCAACAAAUGGAAGAUUUGUAUGCCAGACCUUUCGAUUCACAUAAUGAUGCUCUUGAGGCUCAUUUGGUCACUCAACUUCAUGAUCUUUGGCUUUAGGAUGAAGCACAUUGGAGGCAAAGAUCUCUGAUGUAAUAGUUACAGGAAGGAGAUCAAAAUACUCGAUUUUUUCAUCUAUCGACUAUACAACGACGUCAACAAAAUCGUAUUAAUCGCCUUCAAUCUGCUUCGGGUUGUUGGGUUGAGCGGAACUUUGAGAUUACUUUUCUUAUUUGGAACUUUUUUCAAGAUCUUUAUCAGGCCAAGCUUUUGCAUGGUUGUGAUCAAGUUUUCACCUUGAUACCCUCUUUAGUCUCACCAAAGCUCAACAAGGCUUUGUUGGCACUCUGUCUGAUGAGGAGAUAAAGACAAUAAUUUUUCAAUUGGGUGCCAAUAAAGCUCCAGGUCCUGACAGAUUUUUCAGGUUUGUUUUAUCAGCAUAAUUGAGCUACAGUGGAUUUGUCUUUAUGCAGUGCUAUUAGUAGUUUUUAUAAAAAUAGGUAUUUGCUAAAAGAAAUUAAUUGGACUAAUAUUGUUCUUAUUUUAAAGUGUCACAGCCCACUUGGAAUUCAUCUUUUGUCCUAUCAGUUUGUGCAAUUUUGUGUAUAAAAUCAUUUCCAAGACAGUAGUAAAUAAACUAAAGCCAUGGAUGCACUCUCUUAUCCUUGAUGAUCAAAAUGCUUUUAUUUCUAAUUGAGCCAUUUAGGAUAAUAUUGUGCUUGCUCAUGAGGUCUUUCAUUAUUUAAAGACUUUCAAUAGUCAUCUGCAUACUAUGACUUUUAAACUUUAUAUGUACAAAGCCUAUUAUCAAAUUGAUUAGGGUUUUUUCACGUAUGAUACUAUUGAAAAUGGGGUUUGCUCCACAAUGGGUCCAUUUGAUUUAUACAGUGUAUUUCGAAAGUUAGUUUUUCUAUUCUUGUUAAUGGUGUUCCCACUACUCCUUUUUGGCCUUCUAGAGAUAUUCGACUAGGAGAUUCCUUAUCUCAUUAUCUUUUUUUAUUUAUUUCUUGCAGGUACAGGGUAGACCAGGAGGUCAGUAAGAGUAAUGAAGUUAUGGUCAUGUAAUAGCUAGUGUGGACAUGAUAAAUAUUGAUAUGUUAUGUUGAGUACAGUCAUGUAAAAGUAUGAUAUAGAAAUGUUAUGUAAUAAUGCUUAUGAAGGUUUAGAGUUGUGCUUGACCAUAGUAUUAUGUAAAUCCCUUCUAGUACAUGAUCUUAAUGUUUAUUGAUGUUUAUUGUAAACCAAACUCAAUACAUGGUAUGUCACCCCAGUGGGGCAAUGAUGAGGCUCCAAAGAGGAGUAAAUGUUUAUGACUAUGUUUAUGUAUAGUGCAUGCACAGGUUGAGUUUGGUGAAUGAAUGAAAGAAUAAAUGAAUGGAA